AACCUGGUUAGAUUCAUUGCCUGUCAUCUCGUCAUUGAUGACGAGACGGGUUCGAGUCCCGUCCGGACCGCCA
rnacentral:tRNA from 1 species